AUGGUAUCUUUCAAAAUCCCGCUUCAGCUGCUUUCGCGAAGAUCGUCGGGUUUCUUUGUGUUGAUAGGCUUUGCUACGGAUUGA